GUGGUUGUUCAGGUGGCCAUUGUUCAUCUCUGCAUUCCAGAGAAUCUCAGAUGGCCACGAUGGAUUGGAGGAUAAAGUGUCCUGAAACAGGACUAUGAGGACACUACAACUAUGAGGACACUACAACUCAUCUAGAGCACCUUCUACUGACUAUCUGAUUAUCUACAAAAAAAAAAAAAACAUCCUCCAUGUCUUGCACUGAACAACAAAAGAACAAAGAGUGGAUUUCACUAAAAUCAUGCUACUAAACAGAGACUUGAUAAAGUCUGUUGAGGACAUUACAAAAUAAUACAGGAUGAUAGACGUGUCACAUAAUCAUGACUACAAGCGUACUUCCUUGACGUCAUUCACGGCAGAAAUUGUUAAGAACAGGAAAGUAGUACCAAAAAGAACCCCUUAUUAUUACAGUUUGUAUUUCAAUG
ensembl:lncRNA